rnacentral:lncRNA from 1 species
UGGAAGCUUAUUUCCGGGACCUUUCACCAAGUUCAACUCGUAACAUAGGCUUGGAAUUAUUAGAAUCAACACAAAGCAUGUAUAACUCCACGUGUCUAUAAUUCCUUAUGAAUAUUGGAUAGAUUUUUCCCCUCCCGUUCAUCAAGUAACUAAUGACCAUAUCGCUUAGAUCACAACUUAAUUCACCGCUCUCCAUUACGCUUUUAACUAAAUCGGCGUAUGAACCAUUACAACGAAGGGCAAUGGACACUCUCUCCUUAGAC